GAUGAACGCUAGCGGGAGGCUUAACACAUGCAAGUCGAGGGGCAGCACGUCCCGACGCAAGUCGGGAUGGUGGCGACCGGCGCACGGGUGAGUAACGCGUAUGCAACCUACCCUGUACAGGGGGAUAACCCGGAGAAAUUCGGACUAAUACCCCAUAAAGAUAUUUAGGGGCAUCUUUAGAUAUUUAAAGUUCCGGCGGUACGGGAUGGGCAUGCGUAACAUUAGCUAGUUGGUAAGGUAACGGCUUACCAAGGCCACGAUGUUUAGGGGUCCUGAGAGGGUGAUCCCCCACACUGGUACUGAGACACGGACCAGACUCCUACGGGAGGCAG
rnacentral:rRNA from 1 species